UUAAUACUUCCUCCAUCCCAAAAUUCUUGUCUUAGAUUUAUCUAGUUAUGAAUGUAUCUAGUCACGCUUUAGUAUUUAGAUACAUUCAUUUUUAGACAAACCUAAGACAAGAAUUUUGGGACGAAGGGAGUACAUA
rnacentral:pre_miRNA from 1 species